AAGCCCUAAGCUGUGCCCAACUGGGCAGAGGGAUCCUCCUCCUGGAUCGCUGCUGUAAAAAGGGCAGGACUAAAUCCAGGUCUCAUCAUCUGGAUGUCCUGGAACCAUAGAGAUUGGAUGGGUCUUCUGGAGAUUGUCAAGUCCAACUUGCUGUCAAUGCAGGAUUACCCAGGGUAAUGCACACAGGAAUUAGUCCAGAAUGAGAAAAGAGGGAAAACUCCUGUGAAGCUCUGCAAAAUUAGACACAGCAGCUCUUCUAAACUACCCAUUCCCCUAAAACACGUCCACUAAAUCAAAGAGAUUUCCUGGGUUGGAGCAAGGACCUCUGCUGGACCCUGGAGUAACAGCUGAGAAGACUGCUGCCUGUAGAGAACACCUUUGGAGGUUAAUUUAUCUGAUUACAUGCAGUGCACUGCAGCCGCGGUAAGGUACCAGUCGAGUUUCCACUUGGAGGCUCGGAGGAAAGAUUACCAUUAAAACGUGACUUCCAUCCACUCAGCUGAAAUUACUAUUGAUUGCCAAAGAAAAAUAUUUGUGCUGUGAAGCUGGGAGCUAUGAUGUUGAACCGCAUUAACAUAAUGUUAGCAUAGCUACGGGUGUUUAGUGGCACGCAAUCAGAUUUGAAAUGAACGUUGAUUAUAGAUUGAGAUUAAUGUUCACAUAUUCAUAGGAACACAAUGAAAAGAGCAAUUUCCUUUCUACUACAGAUCAAUGGUUUCCCCAUUCAAUUAUACAGCUGUAAUAAUUGCAUUAUGCGGAAA